UACGGAGGGUGCAAGCGUUGUUCGGAAUUACUGGGCGUAAAGAGCACGUAGGCGGGUUUGUAAGUCGAUUGUGAAAUCCCCGGGCUCAAUCCGGGAACUGCAGUCGAAACUACAAAUCUUGAAUGCCCAAGAGGGUGACGGAAUUCCUGGUGUAGAAGUGAAAUUCGUAGAUAUCAGGAGGAACACCGGAGGCGAAGGCGGUCGCCUGGUGGUGCAUUGACGCUGAGGUGCGAAAGCGUGGGGAGCAAACAGG
rnacentral:rRNA from 1 species